UGCAGCAGCCAUAUCACCCCGCAAGUGGCAGCUCACUGAAGUUCAGCAGGUGUGAGCCUGGCCAGUACCUGGAUGGGGGCCUCCUGGGAAAGCUAAGGUUGCUGCUGGAA
rnacentral:rRNA from 1 species